rnacentral:tRNA from 1 species
GGAGAGAUGGCUCAGAGGUUGAGAGCACCAGCUGCUCUUCUGGAAGAUCUGGGUUCAAUUCCCAGCACCC